AUGUAUCACCAAAUACCACUGCUGUCCCUCAGCUGGGACAGAAACAGUGGACAGAAAGACAUUACAAACAGCCCAGACAACCAUGCUCCCUGCAGUGGAGCUGUCCUAGAGCACCAGACAGAACAUACACAGAAUGAGCUAGAUGGUUCUGCAGGUUACACCCAGGGUGCACAUGGCAGUGGGACAAACAGCACCAUAAAUGCUGUUGAGGAACUAAGCUGCCCUCCUCCAAUCGCAUCUCACUUUCAGUCCUUCCUCAACCAAUCGGAUGAAGCCAUGCAGCCCGCAGGUCUGAAGGAGCUAAUCCAGGUGGCACAGACAGAGACAGGCAUUCAGGACGUGCUCUGGCCGCAAGCCAGCCUGCAUAUGACUGCGGCAUCCAGCAGCAGCUUGGAAGAAAUUCAAAAAUCCGUUUGUCAUGUGAUAGAUGAUCCGGCACGUGAUGUGGGAGAAGGGAAGCCUGCCCUCAACAGUAUCAGCAGAAGGGCAGAGGUCGAAGGUGUAACUUCAGCCACGUCGCAGCUAGUUAAUGCGCCAGAAGCUGUUGGAUUGGAUGACCACAAGGCCAGCAGUCAAACGUCUGGCACUGACCAAAGUGCCCAAGAAGAGGUAACAGCACAGGAGACAUUUGUAGCACACUCAGCAACACAGACAACCACAGAGGGAGCAGCAGAGAGGACAGAACCGGUAGUGACGCAUGCUUCCAAAAAGAUACCACAGGAAUCUGCACAGUCAUCAGGAGAGAUAGUGGCAGAGACCAUGGCAAGCAUAGAAACAAUAGAAAAGACUGCAGCAGAGACAAUAGUAAUGAAUACAGAAAUGGCACAGAAAGAGGGAGAAAUGACACCGCCACAGGUGACAGAAGCCAAAAAGGCAUGUGCAGUGGAAACAGCAACAACACCGACCUCAAGCCCCUGGAAACCUCUGGGUGCAAAUGAAAGAGUCUCACCUGGUCCCUGGGAGAGAGAGGGCAAAGGAGGGAGCGAGCUGUCAGUAAACACCAUGGCAAAGGUCAAAGGAGGUGAAAGUCAAGACCGCGUCAGCCCCACCUCUGGCGAUGACACCAUGACAUUUACGGACACCGACAGGGCGACGGUACAUGAGCGCGUACAUCCCAUGAGGCAACGGGAGGGUGAGGAGGAGAUGGUGGCGGAGGGAGAGGGAGAAGGAGAGCAUCCUUUCAAAAUCCUGAAUGAAAGGGAAUACAAAGAGUCAGGAGAGGCAAAGAGAGAUAUGAUCCAGGAGAAGGAGGGGGACUUAUCGCGGGAAAUGUCACAUUUCAAAGCAACAAGACAGGAUGUGGCAGUGGUAUCAGAAACUGACAGACUGGAGUGUAAAGUGUCAAAAGAGAGGAGGGAAGAUUAUGCUGCGGAGGACUGGAAAGAUGAAAUGGAAAAGUGUUUGGGACUGGGGAGAGAGCAGGGAUACGUCAAUGAGCCAGCCCUGUACGAACAGUUCACAAAGGCCAGCAAAGGGCUGGAGGGAGAAUGCCACAGGAAAUCACAUUCAGGGAUGCUCACUGAAGGACUUGGACGGAUGGGAGGGGAGAGAUGUUUGAUGGGUGACAACAGCACUGUACUAACCAAUUCAGUAGGGUCCGAGGAAGAGCAAGGGACUGUUACUUUAGUUAAGGGUAAGGGCAAAAAAUUAUGGGAUGCAGCUCCAAAAGCCUGUGCAGUGGAGGGGUCCAGCGGGGGCAUGUCACUGCCUUCCAUUAACGCAUUAGUAGAUCAACCGGUGGCACAAGAUCCAUGUGUUCCCACUCCUACCCCAAUACAAACUCUUUGCUCAAUUCAGAUCACACUGGGUGGACAAGAUCCCUUUUUGUUUGAUUUGGAAGAGACGUCCCCUGUCUGCCAGGUUGGGACAGCGACCUGGUCCACCUGUGCCAUCUCUGCUCCAUUAGGUGACGCUCACGAAAAGGGGGUGGCGCUGAGACAUGGGAGGCCACCACAACCAGUAGGACACCUCCAGUCACCCAGAGAGGAGGCUGAAGUCCACACCCAGUUCCCCAGGAUCCCUGCACCUGGCAGAGGUUCAGAUGUCGCGAGACCAGCCCCUCUUUCCCUGUGGUUAAAUGAGGUAUGCUCCCUCAGUGCCAUGUCCAGAGGUGCAGUGUAUGCCCUUCUGUUUGUGAUGUUCUUCUUAACUGCAUAUGUGUGUGACCUGCCGGUCUGUCUGGCCAUCUAUUUGGUUUCCCUGUAUUGGUGGUGUUGUCAUGGAGAAAAAACGCCGCUUCCAGGGGCGAAAGUAACGGAUUAA
rnacentral:lncRNA from 1 species